UACAUGCUGGAUCUAAACACAAUCGAUUGGCAAAUUCCUUCAGCCAGCAGAGAUAUAUCUGGAAUGUUGUCUAUAACGAAUAGAAUUCAGAGAAAUGUG